GGUUCGGUGGUGUAGUUGGUUAUCACAUCUGUCUAACAUGUCAUCACGUGAGCGAUCACGUGACAUGAUGGACACAGAAGGUCCCGAGUUCAAACCUCGGCUGAAUCA